rnacentral:lncRNA from 1 species
GGGCCUUGCUAAUACUCCCCCGCAAACUUAGCGUGGAUGGAGCAGCUACGCUGAGUUUGAAAGCACAGAUGGAUAUGGCUUGAAAUGAGCAUAAGUAGAUGAAGUAGGAUGCUUGAGAUGUUAGCAAAUGGUUCUACUCACCAUUGUAGACAAACAUUAGUGUGAGAUCUAUUCAGACCUAUACUUGGAGAGUAUCACAUGGCUUCACUCAGAGGUUUCUCUUGAACUUGGAGAGCUUAGUUGAUCUCACUCAGAGGUAUAAUUGUGGCCUAUUUGUCUCACUAUGAAUCUAGGUUUACUUUACCCAUUUCAUCCUUCUAAUGUGUCUAAUGAAGAACACUCUUUCCACACCUACCAAAUACAACUAUACUCACUCUCUGCUUCCCAUCAAUAUCACCAAAAUUCUGCCUCUAAACAAACUGACCUUCUUGUGAGCAUUUCAGCGAGCACUUUGUGUGCAUUAGCAUUAAAGCCAGAGCUUCCACACGCAACAAACCCAAACCUGCCUAUUUCAUUAUAGCUUCGGUUCCAAACCUAUCUUAACCCAAGAAUUUAAGCUAACCAGCAACUCAAUCCAACACAGAGACAUUUAUUUUUCAUCUUUUGUUCUGUCUCAGUAGAAAGAAAUAGACAAUACCGUCCAUAAAGUGAUGAGGAAGUCUUUCUUUCUUCUCUGUCUGUUCUGAGCCCUACUUCACAGCUUCAGCUUCAUCGCUACCCAGAAAACACACAGCUUCAUCUAACUGAAGCUUAAAGAAAACG